CCUACGGGCGGCAGCAGUGAGGAAUAUUGGUCAAUGGGCGCGAGCCUGAACCAGCCAAGUAGCGUGAAGGAUGACUGCCCUACGGGUUGUAAACUUCUUUUAUAAAGGAAUAAAGUGAGUCACGUGUGCCUGUUUGUAUGUACUUUAUGAAUAAGGAUCGGCUAACUCCGUGCCAGCAGCGGCGGUAAUACGGAGGAUCCGAUGGUUACCCGGAUUUAUUGGGUUUAAAGGGAGCGUAGAUGGGUUGUUAAGUCAGUUGUGAAAGUUUGCGGCUCAACCGUAAAAUUGCAAUUGAUACUGGCAGUCUUGAGUACGGGUGAGGUAGGCGGAAUUCGUGGUGUAGGAGUGAAAUGCUUAGAUAUCACGAAGAACACCGAUUGCGAAGGCAGCUUACUAAACUGCCACUGACGUUGAUGCUCGAAAGUGUGGGUAUCAAACAGGAUUAGAUACCCUUGUAGUC
rnacentral:rRNA from 1 species